CGGAUGUAGGCUGCAACUCGCCUACAUGAAGUUGGAAUCGCUAGUAAUCGCGAAUCAGAAUGUCGCGGUGAAUACGUUCCCGGGUCUUGUACACACCGCCCGUCACACCACGAGAGUUACAACACCCGAAGUCAGUGGCCUAACCGCAAGGAGGGAGCUGCCUAAGGUGGGGUAGAUGAUUGGGGUGAAGUCGUAACAAGGUACC
rnacentral:rRNA from 1 species